GAUGAACGCUAGCGGGAGGCUUAACACAUGCAAGUCGUGGGGCAGCACAGGUAGCAAUACUGGGUGGCGACCGGCGCACGGGUGAGUAACGCGUAUGCAACCUGCCCUGUACAGGGGGAUAGCCCGGAGAAAUUCGGAUUAAUACCCCAUAAUGAUAUCGAGAGGCAUCUUUUGAUAUUUAAAGCUUCGGCGGUACGGGAUGGGCAUGCGUGACAUUAGCUAGUUGGUAAGGUAACGGCUUACCAAGGCUGCGAUGUCUAGGGGUCCUGAGAGGGUGAUCUCCCACACUGGUACUUGUACACGGACCAGACUCCUACGGGAGGCAGCAGUGAGGAAUAUUGGUCAAUGGGCGUAAGCCUGCACCAGCCAUCCCGCGUGAAGGAAGAAGGCGAUAUGCGUCGUAAACUUCUUUUCCAGAGGAAUAAAAUUUUGUACGCGUACACAACGGAAGGUACUCUGGGAAUAAGCAUCGGCUAACUCCGUGCCAGCCGCCGCUGUAACAC
rnacentral:rRNA from 1 species